AUUCUUUUAAAAACUUGGCUUAUGCCAAAACUCAUACUCGGGGACACCUUGGCUCGGGCAUCCAACCGAGUCCGCCAAGGCUGUUAAAAUAACAUAUACACAUAAACAUGUUUUUACGUUUAAAAACGUAGCCGUUCCUUGGCGUUGGCUGAGUUUCACCCUCACGUGGUGGUUCGGUGUGAAGUGAACUCUAAACUUACCUUAGGAGAUACCCUCCGCACCUCUCAAACUAAGGUAAAAUAUAACGGGGUUUACCGUGCCCCUCUAAUAGGCUCGUCCACGAAAACCCAUCCACUGCAGUAAGCUAAUCAAAUAACCCACCAAAUCAAUAAAAAUUUCGACAGCAUGACAUGGCUAAUAUAAUAUUACCCAGCCUGUCAAGAUAAAACAAAACAGUUUAUAUAAUCCACAAACCACAAAUCCAGCUACUCAUGCCAUCACAUUGUCAUAAGCCAUCAAUUCAAACCAUAUAUAUAUAUAUAUAUAUAACACAAGUAUAUAGUCUCCACUUACUCAAUUUCCAAAAUCAUCAUUGAAUUGCAAAACAAUUUAUAAAUCUCAUUCAUUUAACCAUCACUUAACUUAUAAAACAUAAAAAUCUACAGUUUAAGUUCAUUAUUCUUUAAAAUCAUAGAAACGAAUAUAAACUACUUUAAAUAGUUAAGGUGAACAUUUGAUUACUCACAAUAUUACUCACAAUAGCGGGAGUUUGGAGUACUCCUAUUCUUGGUCUUCGGGUACGAUAUUUUUACCCUUAUCAAAGGGCUCACCACCUAUACAUAAUACACGACACGUAAUUCAAUAUAUUUGUGCCAAACUGUUAUAAAACUAUUUCAGGCUUUAUAUGAGAAUUGAAUGAGAAUUGUUCGAAUAAUCAAUUAAAGACGGUGUUCUAUGUGGGUUCAAUUAUGAUCGUACUAAAUUUGUAUUCGACCUAACUCGAACUAUACACUGUUGAAUUAACCAAAACAUCCUAUUCAACUUCAAAUAUAUUCAUUACACUUCCAAUAUUCCAAAUACACCAAAGUACCUCAAUGAGCUUGAUUGUGACUUAAUUCAUCGUAACCGAAAUUCAUUCCGAUUUCGAACUAACGUGCUAAUCAAUGUUAACACAGUCCAAUAAAUCCAUCUACAUCAUUAGGAAUCAAAUCCAAAUCCAUUUACUAUGAUUUUCUCAUUAUUGUUCAAGUCGUUUACUAAAGGAACUAUACUUUUCGAUAGCCGUUUUCGAUAUCCGAUACCAUAAAUCAUCAAUUACGAGCUAAAUAACAAGAAAUACAACAAAAUCCAUCAUCAACAUGUCAUCUAUAAAAUUCGGCCAAAGAGGGUUGUUGAAGGGCAUGUGAUUUUCUUGCUUGUUUUUCAUGCCAAACAUCAUCAAACAACUAAAAACACUAAGAUAUCAUGAAAUCUAGCAAAAUCCAUCAUCAAAACCUCUCUCCCUAUGUUCGGCCAGCAAGUAUUCCCUCAUGGAAACUUGUGUUUCAACCAUAGAAAAUGAAAAAGAAAGCAUGGGAAAGGUAGAUCUUAAGCUAAAAUUGAAAAAUCUUACCUUUGAUUGCUUUGUUCUUUGAAAUUCAAUAAAUUUCUCUUGAAUUUUCCUCUCUAGGGUUUGUUUCUAUUCUUUUCUCUUUGUUCUUUGCUUUGGCCGGC
rnacentral:lncRNA from 1 species